rnacentral:rRNA from 1 species
UGCAGUCGAACGUGAAAGCACUUCGGUGUGAGUAGAGUGGCGGACGGGUGAGUAACGCGUGGGAAUCUACCCAGUAGUGGGGGACAACUACCGGAAACGGUAGCUAAUACCGCAUACGCCCUAUGGGGGAAAGGCUUCGGCCGCUAUUGGAUGAGCCCGCGUCAGAUUAGCUAGUUGGUAGGGUAAAGGCCUACCAAGGCGACGAUCUUUAACUGGUCUGAGAGGAUGACCAGUCACACUGGGACUGAGACACGGCCCAGACUCCUACGGGAGGCAGCAGUGGGGAAUAUUGGACAAUGGGCGGAAGCCUGAUCCAGCCAUGCCGCGUGUGUGAAGAAGGCCUUAGGGUUGUAAAGCACUUUCAGGGGUGAGGAAGGGUAGCUAGUUAAUACCUAGUUAUCUUGACGUUAGCCCCAGAAGAAGCACCGGCUAACUCCGUGCCAGCAGCCGCGGUAAUACAGAGGGUGC